UGAACCUCUUCUUCAUAACUACUGAGUUCCACAACAUGUCUACGAUUCAACUUUGUAACGCUAGUUCUGUGCAUUACACACCCUGAAAUGCAGACUGAACAUACAAGUGUCCAGGGUACUUAAUCAUCUUUCUUCUUCUAAAUUACCCCAUAAGAUAUUCUGCACAGCCAACGUGGGCUUACAAUAAACUGAUUCCCCUUGACACACUGCAUACAUGUAACAUUUGCUUUAUUUUAUUAUCCUGAUCAGCUUUCAAGUCAUAGAAGGAAAAGGUGGAGAAAGACACGCGCAGUCACUUCAUUGCAAGGACAGGUACAGAGACUUGCGGCCACCUGAAAAAGAAGCAUUUCUACUUUGUCUGUCACCGGUCUGGAAGUUAUGCUUCACAAGCUACAAGUAAACAAAAGCUGAAGCGGCCUUCAAGUGUCAAGUGUGGAAAAAGAUGUUCUGCGGCAAUGGCUGUGACUGAAGACAACACAGGUGUGUAUGUGGUUUUCCAAUUCAAGCACAGAGGCGACGACUUUGAACUGGGUCGUGUUUUUCUGUCCAAGUCGGAAAGAGCUGCUAUUGCUGGUAAGAAACCGCUUUUGCCCUGCUUUAUAAUACAUAAAGAGUGGUUGUUGAGUUUUCAACAUCCCAAAUACAAGGCAAUACUCAUGCCAGACCAUGCAAUGAACUUGGAGCACAUGAAAUUCAUUUGAAAUUCAUAAUUUCCACAUAAUUCGAGGCCACCUUUACUGACUGCAGGGCAUUAUAGUUAAUGACAUCAUAAACAUGUUUAUCAUUUUGCUACAUUGUAUCAAUGCCUGAAGGGUUCAGAGAGAGAGAGAAAAAAGGGAACCGUUCUCCAAUUUCACAGCGGUAACAACUACCUUGGCACAGCCAGUGGCCUAUAUUUGACCUAUAUGGCUAUUCUUAUUGCAGGCAACGACUUUCGUUAUUUUAUACUUGUUUGCAUCACUUCAUGUACCAAGCAGGAAGGUGUAGUGCCUCCUGGUGCACUGUAGGCCACGCAGCAGACUGUGGCUUUUUCUUUUUCUGUUUUAUUUUUCAGGCUUUCAGUUAACUGUAUUGGUAUGACUUAUGAUCCUAGUGGGAUUCAAUGUCUCAAAAUAGCAGUAAGCUGGAAUAAUUUCUACUUGGGAUUACUUAAGGUGCAUUGUACAUAAUUAUGUUUGCCAUUUUGCCUAAACUGAAGUGCAAGUAUUACAGACAUCGAUGAAACUGCGACCUCUCACCACUACUGUAGGUCAUCCACAGCAGAUGUGCUUUCCAUGUGAAACUUUCAUCAGCUCAAGUUGUAUUUUACUCUACUAUAUGUAGGGCUCACAAACCAUGUGCCAUAUUUUCUGGACUAUAAUUUGAACUGUUGUACAAGUCACCCCCUUUCCCCCCUCUUUUCACAACUUUCAAAGAAAAAAUAUGUGUAUAAGAUGCAUCUAUCUUAACUUGGGUCAGCAUCGUGAAAUGCGAUUAUGCAUGUUUAUACACUUAUCCUAAAAUGUCGUACUUACCCAUUUCAGGGCACUAAACUUCAGUAAAAAAAAAUUUUAUGAGCCACACAUUCUAGCAGACAAAAUAAACUGCAAGUACAUUGCUGGAGAAAAAGAAUGUCUCAUGUUGGUCUUGCAUAUAUAAGUUACACUGUUCUACAAUACGCUUGGACGAAAAUGAAAAGAAAAUGGUGGCACCUAUGGUGUGGAAAAUAUGGUACCUAAAUAUUUUGAAUGCUCAUGAAUCAGCUAUGUGAAUGAAACAUGAUUGAAACGAUCACAAUAAUUAGGCUUAUACCCAUGUCACACGGCGAAAACUAAUGUCAUUUGAAAAUGAUGAAAAUGACGAUAGUAAAAAAAAAAAAAGGGCACGCCUCAAACCCACUUUUGUCCAAUAAUUAUUUUCCAGUAUGCUAAAUUCCACUAGAAUAUGUGAUCAUUGCUUUCAAACCGUAGUGUUCGAUUACGAACUUGUCGACAUUGCCAACGAAGUCGAGUCGAGCUAAGGCAAGCAACAGGGCGAAGAGAACGAUAGGCGCGUCCGCUACAUCUGCUAAAGUGGUACGAGAAGGGCAGUUGCAUGUCAUCGCCUUUCUGAUGUGCAUGCGAGCUUUUAAUAUCCUCAUUCUUGGCGCGUGCCACAGGAAAAAACGCGCACGCUUUUAUGCCAAGUCAAUUGAAGUGGCUGCGGCCGAUGCUCCGGUGAGAACCAACACGACUGCUGCAGCGAAAGCUAAAGAUGGCUGUCUGGUCACUGGACUGAGAGUAGUUUUCUGUAUUUACCUAUGUGAUGGACUUCAAUGUCGUUAAAGCAAUAAUUAGGUAAUAAAAUGGAUAGAAUAAUAGUGAUUUUUUGUUAAAACAAAAAAAGAAGCACGUACUGUUUGCGAAACACUGGUAAACUCGUGGUGUUGAGGAUACACAUUCAGUUCCAAACGAAUGCGAAUGAGUUUGGCGAACUGAUUUGUUUGUAAAUGUCAUUUUCGAAAAUGUCCUUACGUUUUACCGUGUGACACCAAAGAAAUGGCAUUAUCAGCGAAUGUCAUUCGUUGUAAAUGACAUUAGAUUUGCCGUGUGACAGGGGUAUUAGACAUGAACUCGUAAAACAGCUUCAAGUGUCCAGUCAGUACUCUACUUGACUGAAAUAAUACCUUUAACUCAAAAACCUACAUGACUGCAUAGCCUUCAAAGCAUACGUUCACUGGUGUGUCUGCACUGUAAAUAUGGAUGAAUGACUGAUAAAUCAACCAUUAAAAAUAAUUGCUGAAAGCUUUAAUUGACAAUUUUUAUAUUGACAUUAAUCAAAUUAUGUGCAUCAAUUCAGUCAGUAACAGUGAUGUUUAUAUUUAAGCUAAUCUGGAAAUGCUGCACAUGUUUUCGAUUGCAGACUGUUUUGCCCUUCUAUGGUGGCAUGCCACUAUGGAAGUGGCAAUAACUUAUGCUAUGGAAUGUAAUUGGAAAAUUAAGUUCUAACUGUAGGAUACUAAAAGUGGAAGACAUUUUUGCCCUGGGUAGGAUCUGAACCACAAUCUGCACAUGUCCAGUCCAGUGCAAUGCUUUUACAAUGGUUCAGUAAUGUCUUUUGUGCAAACAAGGUUACCAACAGUGAAGGAUGAAAUUGGCAGCCUAGCUGUAAACUUGGUACACAUAAUAAAAUUCUUCACUUACGUACCUGAUAACACUGGUGCAUAUAAUCCCUAUGACGGUUUAGCAAUGACACGAAACAUUGAAACACUUAAAUAUGUAAUCUUGCCUCUUCAAAUGUAAUGUAAUCGUGUAGUGUAAUUCAGAAAUGUAAUCUUGCCUCUUCAGCAGCUGAAGGCUGCAUAGCACCAUGUCCUUGCAAAGAGCUGAC